UACGGGGGGGGCAAGCGUUGUUCGGAAUUACUGGGCGUAAAGCGCGCGCAGGCGGCAUGGUAAGUAAGGUGUGAAAUCCAUCUGCUCAACGGGUGGGGUGCAUUUUAGACUGCCAAGCUUGAGGUCGGUAGAGGGGGGUAGAAUUGCUGGUGUAGCGGUGAAAUGCGUAGAGAUCAGCAGGAAUACCCGUGGCGAAGGCGGCCCCCUGGGCCGUACCUGACGCUGAGGCGCGACAGCGUGGGGAGCAAACAGG
rnacentral:rRNA from 1 species